CAAUAGCGUAUAUUAAAGUUGUUGCAGUUAAAAAGCUCGUAGUUGGAUUUCUGGUUGAAGCGACCGGUCGGGCGUUGAUUCGUCUGCACUGGAGUCGGUUUUGGCCAUCCUCUAGGAAAGUGCGUCUGGUAUUAAGUUAUCGGGCGUAUGAUCCUGGUCUUUUACUGUGAAAAAAUUAGAGUGUUUAAAGUAGGCCCUCGCCUUGAAUACAUUAGCAUGGAAUAAUAAGAUAGGACUUUGGUCUAUUUUGUUGGUUUGCAGACCGAAGUAAUGAUUAAUAGGGAUAGUUGGGGGUAUUUAUAUUCCGAUGUCAGAGGUGAAAUUCUUAGAUUUUCGGAAGAUAAACUUAUGCGAAAGCAUUUACCAAGGAUGUUUUCAUUA
rnacentral:rRNA from 1 species